AUUAUACAAUUAUCUUCCUCAAUAUUAACUUAUUUACAAAACUGUCACCAUUGUACUUUUGCCAAUUAAAGGCCUAUACAUGGUGUAUAAAAAAACUGAACCAAAACAAUAUAAUGUGGCCUUUAUGAGGCAUUAUUGCCAUGUUCCUUUAUCAAAUUAGUUCCAAAUUAUUAGACAGAGUGAAAUAUAGUAAGUGCUCAAUACAGGAAAUUCCAACAAGAAUACAAAUUUUGGCAAUGCUGUGUUGUUAUUUUGCAUGCCAUCUACUGUAACAAUGGAUAAUUUGAU